rfam:Xenorhabdus khoisanae strain MCB contig044, whole genome shotgun sequence.
AAUCGUUGUCAAUGAUCACAGAAAGUGGUAACUCUUAAAUAUACGUCAAGCAUACGAGUUAAAACGAACAAAAUUAUGAACACAUUUGUCCUAGUGAUUAGCCUAAUUAUUGUGAGCGUGGUGGUGAUUAUUCCACCGUGCGGGGCUGCACUUGGACGAAUGAAGGCUUAGACAGAAAAAUAGCCGGAUUCAAAAAAGGCCCCCGCACCGAAAGGCGCGGGGGCCUUUUUUUUGGCACGAUUUUUGGCACCUGACAACGACAUAACACAACAUCACAACAGCCAAUUGCAAGGU